rnacentral:rRNA from 1 species
UACGGAGGGUGCAGGCGUUAUCCGGAUUUACUGGGUUUAAAGGGUGCGCAGGCGGAUAUGUAAGUCAGUGGUGAAAUCUCUAGGCUUAACCUGGAAAUUGCCGUUGAUACUAUAUAUCUUGAAUGUUGUGGAGGUAAGCAGAAUAUGUCAUGUAGCGGUGAAAUGCUUAGAUGUGACAUAGAAUACCUAUUGCGAAGGCAGCUUACUACGCAGAUAUUGACGCUCAUGCACGAAAGCGUGGGGAUCAAACAGG